CCAGCAUUUAAUUACAUUUACGGAUAACAUUUUUAAAAAAACGUUAUCAUCUUAUAUUAAUUAAAUCAAUAACCCCGUUGAGUUUCUUUAGACAUAAAUAUAUAUUUUAAAGUAUAAAAUUUCUAAACAUUGGGGAGUUAAAUUUCAAAAAGAAAAAAGACUAAGUACAGAAUAGUGCUCUGCUAGGGUUUUGGAGAUUUUUCAAAUUACUUCUGUUGCUAUGGCGGGAAGACUCAAAGGUCGAAAAAAAUGGAACGAAUGCAGCGAUUCAAAAACAGAGGGGACCGUCGUCGAAGACUGUUGAGAAAGACGAUAUCUAUGGCAGCGAUCUUUGAGAUCAACACAGUGGAAUUUUCUAAUUCUGAGGAAGAGAAGAUUGAUGAGGAUGCGGUGAAGAAUGACGAUGGAACCAUACUCUCGCAAAGAUCGAACGAGACUCUCUCGGAAUGGCUUGGCGUAAUGAAGAAGGCAGAGGCGACUACGAAAUGAGAUUGGGGAUUCCAAUAAGACUAAAAUCAGAAGUAGUGCUGCUAGGAAAUUAGGGAAUGUUAGAAUUGAUGAUGAUGAUAUAGAAGAGGAGAAUUUUGACUUGGGAGGAUGGGUAUUGUGAUAUUACAAAACCAGCAGAAAGGAAGUCAGAUGACAGUUAUUUCAAUGGAACAAAGGCAUUAUCAUUUUCAGGCUUUGAAAUAACCAUGCGUGAUAUUGGAUCCAGGGGAUGUCCAAUCGAACUUGCAGUGGCUAAUUUAUCAUGUCUUCAGUAUGCCUUAGGCGAAGUGUAGAGCUUUUAAUCUUUGGCUUUUCACAUACCUUAUUCCCAGGAAAUUUUGGGAUUUGUUUAGAUAAUGUUUUCACCAAUUAAAAAUGUGAAAAAACAUAGCUCUCUGAUUUGUAGAUAAUCUGCAGCUACACUGUUAAACAGUGAGUCAACUAAUUA